GGUUGAGAGGUGGUCCUGCAGACCUGUAGUUCUGAGCACUUUCUGCAGCAGAUCAGACAAACAGAACAACAUGCUGAGAUGUUUUACUGGGGAGCCCUUACAUGUUUUAAUCAGCUAGUAAUUGUGUGAAUCUAGUGCCUUUCCUGCACUGCAGGGCUGAAAUCAGCUGUUUUUCUUAAAAACGUAGUUUCUGUACAUCAGAGUCUCCAGUUUUCUAGAGCUGAAAGAACAAGAGCAGUUAAAUUCUGCAUGUUGCAGUACUUUUGAUUGGCUGUAAUAAAACUUAAAUCUCAAUCUUUAAACCUACUGUUUGCUUUCUCACAGAGAAGUAACGAGUAGGAAAAUUUAAGGGAACCCAGGCUGUUAAUACUUGCAACAGUGUACAUAUCCAAUACUAUUAAAAUACUAUUAUGCAUAUUACAGUGCUAUUAAAUUAUUAUAUAUAAACAAGAAAGAAAUGUUUAUUAUAAAAGAAUAUGGCAAAUAGGCAAAGUUCCUGUAUGACUAGGCCCUCAUUGUCACACUGUGAUGUCAUGUGGUUGCAUUGAGAUCAGUCCUGUGGUAAAUAAGACAAUCAACAAGUUUGUCUCCUGAGUAAUAUCACGUUCUAGCUAAAGUGGGAAAGAUAUGAUAUAUUGGAGGUAAAUGAGAAUAUUAGCUUCCUGUUCCUCGCUUAGUGGACGAGAGAGAGCAUCCAUUUGAUGUGGAAAACAAUAAUGGCACACAGUUUCCAAGAGUAACACCAAAGAGAGUCAGCCACCAUCCCCGUUAGAACCUGUUCUAUCUACUUGUUCCUCAGCAAGUGAUCAGAGGACUGGAAAGAACACAAUAUCAGAAAACAGUGCUCAAGAGAACUAUCAGCUGUUGCAAUCAGGACCUGUUCUGUUUGCUUGUUCCUUAGCAAGUGAUCAAAGGUCUAAGAAG